CCAAUUGAAGGGUUUGAUCCUGGCUCAGAAUGAACGUUGGCGGCGUGGAUUAGGCAUGCAAGUCGAGCGAGAAGCUACUGAUUGAAACUUCGGUUGAUUUCUUUAGUGGACAGCGGCGCAAGGGAGAGUAACGCGUGGAGACCUACCCCAGGGUCGGGCACAAUUGAGGGAAACCUCUUGUAAUACCCGAUAACGUCCCCGGACCAAAGUUUUUCGCCUUGGGAGGGUUCCGCGUCCUAUUAGCUAGUUGGUGAGGUAAUGGCUCACCAAGGCAAUGAUGGGUAGCGGGUGUGAGAGCAUGACCCGUCUCACUGGGACUGAGACACUGCCCAGACACCUACGGGUGGCUGCAGUCGAGAAUCUUCGGCAAUGGACGAAAGUCUGACCGAGCGACGCCGCGUGCGGGAUGAAGGCCUUCGGGUUGUAAACCGCUGUCAGAGGGGAAGAAAGUUUUACUUGACUGAACCUCAGAGGAAGCACGGGCUAAGUUCGUGCCAGCAGCCGCGGUAACACGAACCGUGCGAACGUUAUUCGGAAUCACUGGGCUUAAAGGGUGCGUAGGCGGCUUUGCAAGUGGGAUGUGAAAUCCCUCAGCUCAACUGAGGAACUGCGUUCCAAACUGCAAAGCUAGAGGGAGACAGAGGUAAGCGGAACUGAUGGUGGAGCGGUGAAAUGCGUUGAUAUCAUCAGGAACACCAGUGGCGAAGGCGGCUUACUGGGUCUCUUCUGACGCUGAGG
rnacentral:rRNA from 1 species